UUCCCAUUUCAAUAAUUUAGGGUUUGUAAUUGAUUACUCUAUUUGGAUCCAAAUUUGUUUUUAGGUUCCAAUGUUUGCAUUCUCAUUGCUAUUUCAAUAAUUUAGGGUUUGAUGAUGUUGACAUGCCUCCAUAAUUAACUUUAGUACUAUUAUUGUCAAAGCCAAAGUUGCUGCUACUGCUAAAUCAACACUCGUUUUCAUAUUCAUACUCAUUCAAUGCCAAAAUCAACCAUCUUUCUUCAUCAGGGAUGUCUUAGUUUGAAAAAGAAGAAGAUUUGGAAGCAAGUUAGUUGGGCAUGUACUAGUGGGGUAAUUAAGUCGACAUAAGGGAGAUUAUACUACCCUCACACAGUGUAGUUAUGCGAUGCACCAAGAUUUAUUUCUUACUCAGGUGUAAUUCACAGUUAUAUGGCUUGUGGUACUAGUUUUGGUGUUAGCAAGUUUUC